rnacentral:rRNA from 1 species
UACAGAGGGUGCAAGCGUUAAUCGGAAUUACUGGGCGUAAAGGGCGCGUAGGUGGUUAGGUAAGUUAGAUGUGAAAUCCCUGGGCUCAACCUAGGAACUGCAUCUAAAACUACUUAGCUUGAGUAUGAUAGAGGGUAGUGGAAUUUCCGGUGUAGCGGUGAAAUGCGUAGAGAUCCGGAAGAACACCGGUGGCGAAGGCGGCCUGCUGGCUAUGGCUGACACUGAGGCGCGGACAGCGUGGGGAGCAAACAGG